rnacentral:lncRNA from 1 species
UGAUUAAAACAUCUGUGUAUUAUUUGAUAAUUAUAAUAUACACCAUUUCAAAACAGUUUGUGCUAUCAAGCAUCAUGUUUAUUUCUGUACUGUCAGUUUCUUCAGAAAAGCUACAUAUAACAAAGAAUGAAUACUCUGUCAUAAUUUUUUCCAUCACAGUUUAUGACUACGAAGUUUGGUAGUACACUGGUAUACUAAGUAAUUAAUAUUAAUAAAGACAACGCUAUUUGACUUUAUCUACUGCAAACUUAUGCAACUAUGUAAGAUUUUAUUAGUAAGAAUUCAUACAAUAAGCACAUGUUAGAGGAAUUAAUCAUUCAUUCCCCGCAGACUGCUUAUAUAUUUCAUCAGGCUAUUAUCUGAUCUGAAUAACAAGAACAAUUGCAUAAUAAAACACACCACUGCUGACAUAUGCAACUUUAUUCUAUCAACUUCAUAUAUUCACAGCAAGAGGUCUUUUUAAAGUCCUGUUGUUUCUUCUGAAUUUUAGACUGACCUGAUUCAACAUUUUCCUGUAUCAACAAUUACAAUCAAGACUGUACAUACAUAUAUGAUCAAAUAUAGUACGUAUCAAACUUAAUUGCCACAAUUUGACUCAGGUCAUUUCACACAGUAACAAGGAGUAAUUACAGCAAAAGCAGAGUAUGUGUCAAGUCAUUUUUCAUAUAGAUACUGAAGUAUUGCCAGGUCAUACCCUAGAUUUAAAGAAAAUCCGAAAGACAAAUGAUGAAGACUAUAUUCCAAACUAAUAAAGCCAUUAAGUAUGAUGUUAUUCAACUGAAACUAAACAAUAUAGUUCCUAUCUGAUUAGUCAUAUAUAUUUUAAUCUUUUGCUUUAAAAAAUGGACACUUUGUUAGGCAUUCAACACUGCAUGCUGCAUGUUUGGGACCACCUAGCAGAACAGAAAUCUUAACCUAAUAAACUUCUCUAUAUGCAGUCUCAGAACACUUCAUGGAAAUUAUCUGGAUAUAUUCUUUUAAUGCUCUACUCACAGGGAGUACAACACACCAAUGAGUCAUGUCAAAUGUUACCUAGUCAAAAAAAAAAAAAAAAAA